rnacentral:rRNA from 1 species
UUCUGUGGCCAUACUGGCUUGCCAAAGCCUGAUCUCAUCAGAUCUCAGAAGUGAGGCCGGGCCUGGUUAGUACUUGGAUGAGAAACCGUUGCGAAUAUCAGGUGCCAUGGUGG